AUUUCUGGGAGCUAGAUUGACAAUAUGGACCAUAUUAUUCUGUUAGGAUUGCAAUUAUUUAGGAAAGGACGGUGCUUGCUCCUCUUAUUCUUUAUUGUAGGGUCCUUGACUUGUCUCAUGACCAUGAGCAAUUCUAUGCAAGAGCUUGGAGAGAAGUCAGCUUGCUUUUCCAUUGUAUGGUUUCAAGUCCACAUAAAAACAUUAAGAAAUCUUGUGAGAUUUUGUUUUCAAGGACUUCUGAAGUUCGUGUAAGUAUUUUCCAGACAUGCAAUAGAAGAGUAAAAAUUUGCCUAUCCUAUGUCUGGAGCCAUUAAUUUUGCGGUGUUUAUUUUCUCUCUAUUCAAAAUCAAACAGCAGGCACAGAGCCGGGUGAAAUGCACUGCUCAUUUAAGAUUCCGUACGCAUGUACCAUUGGAGAUGCAAGUAGUCAAAAAAUUCUGAAAAGAGCUGUUUCCACUAAUUUGCUGAACAGUUUGUCAGGAUGUAAAGUGAUGAGACACAAAUGUUUAAGGCAUUUCUGUUUUGGAAAGCACGUUUCAAUGGCUGUCUCAGGAUGUGUGGAUGAGAAGGCAAGGUGCUGUAAAUCCUAGGAUCAUUUGACAGAAACCUCAACAGCCAAACAGCAUGGAAGUGGAGGAAGCAAGUGGCAGGAGAGAAGCUUCACCAGCUUAGCUUUGCCAGCUAAGCUUCUAUCUCUAAGGUUCUUGAGAGUCAGUGGUGAACUUUCUCUCAUCCAAACAUUGUCAGGCUAAUGGGAUACUGUUUAGAGGAUAAAGAACUACUUCUUGUCCAUGAGUUAAUGCCAAAGGGUACCCUAAAGAACCAUCUCUUUGGAAUUAAGGAUCUCUCUUGGACGAUAUAUACAUGCUUGUCUCAAAUUUACGGCAAAUAUGAUCUUUUCUUGUUUCAAUGUACUACACAAAUCAUGGUCUUUCUUGCUGCAGGGGGCCUCGGCCAUUAAACCACUUCCAUGGGUCACAUGGCUUAAAUUUGCAAUAAGAGCAGCCAGGCCUCACGUUCUUGCACCAGUUAGACAGGCAAAUAAUCUGCAGAGAUUUCAAGCCCUCAAACAUAUUGCUGGGCUCAGUUUUCACAUAUAACACGGAGCUAUUAUUGCAAAGCAUCUUCAAAACCUGGUUCGCCACCUGAGUAUGCUUUCCUUAUAUUUUGGUCCGGGG